GAUGAGGUAGCUGGGUGGUUAAGGUAAUGUUCUACUAAUCCAUUGUGAUCUGCACGCAUGGGUUCAAAUCCCAUCCUUAUUA
rnacentral:tRNA from 1 species